rnacentral:rRNA from 1 species
ACCAGGAGNCAGGUGCUGCAUGGCUGUCGUCAGCUCGNGUCGNGAGAUGUUCGGUUAAGUCCGGCAACGAGCGCAACCCACGUCCNCAGUUGCCAGCAUUCAGUUGGGCACUCUGUGGAAACUGCCGAUGAUAAGUCNGAGNAAGGUGUGGAUGNCGUCAAGUCNUCAUGGCCCNUACGGGUUGGGNUACACNCNUGCUACAAUGGUGGUGNCAGUGGGUUAAUCCCCAAAAGCCAUNUCAGUUCGGAUUGUCCUCUGCAACUCNAGGUGCAUGAAGUUGGAAUCGCUAGUAAUCNCGGAACAGCAUGCCGCGGUGAAUACGUUCCCGGGCCNUGUACANACCGNCCGUCACACCAUGGGAGUUGGUUCUACCCGACGACGC